CGUCACCAACCACACUCUUUUCUGAUGGUCUUUCUCUUUGUUCCCUGAGAUAUUUCUUCCAAACCACCAUAUUAAGAGGUAAACUGAUUCUAAGAUUUAUGAGGAAUCACAAAGGGCCAAGAAUAGCAAUGCACACUUGAAGGAAAAUAAGGUCAGAGAGUCAAGUUACUAGUCAAAUAAUCGCCUAAAAAUUAAUUUACAAAUGGUAAUUACACUUAAUCUUUAAAGGAAAAAAACCAACACUGAAAGUAACAG
rnacentral:lncRNA from 1 species